rnacentral:rRNA from 1 species
AGUCGAGCGGUAACAGGAAUUAGCUUGCUAAUUUGCUGACGAGCGGCGGACGGGUGAGUAACGCGUAGGAAUCUGCCUGGUAGUGGGGGACAACAUGUGGAAACGCAUGCUAAUACCGCAUACGCCCUACGGGGGAAAGGAGGGGAUCUUCGGACCUUUCGCUAUCAGAUGAGCCUGCGUGAGAUUAGCUAGUUGGUGGGGUAAAGGCUCACCAAGGCGACAAUCUCUAGCUGGUCUGAGAGGAUGAUCAGCCACACUGGGCCUGAGACACGGCCCAGACUCCUACGGGAGGCAGCAGUGAGGAAUAUUGGACAAUGGGGGCAACCCUGAUCCAGCCAUGCCGCGUGUGUGAAGAAGGCCUUAGGGUUGUAAAGCACUUUCAGGAGUGAGGAAGGGUGUACGGUUAAUACCCGUAUAUUUUGACGUUAACUCCAGAAGAAGCACCGGCUAACUCUGUGCCAGCAGCCGCGGUAAUACAGAGGGUGCGAGCGUUAAUCGGAAUUACUGGGCGUAAAGCGCGCGUAGGCGGUUUGUUAAGUCGGAUGUGAAAUCCCAGGGCUCAACCUUGGAAUGGCACCCGAUACUGGCAGGCUAGAGUACGGUAGAGGGGUGUGGAAUUUCCUGUGUAGCGGUGAAAUGCGUAGAUAUAGGAAGGAACAUCAGUGGCGAAGGCGACACUCUGGACCGAUACUGACGCUGAGUGCGAAAGCGUGGGGAGCAAACAGGAUUAGAUACCCUGGUAGUCCACGCCGUAAACGAUGUCUACUAGCCGUUGGGAAUUUUAUUUUUAG